CAGGAAAAGCCUCUGAUGGGACUAUGUAAUUUCUACCUUUGGCAGAAUCAGCUAUGAUCAGAAGAUUUAUGCAUCUGGAAAUGUUCCCAAAACAUGGGACUCCAAGAUAAUGUUGACAAGAAGACAUGAUAAUUGAACUCAUUUUGCCAACUUUAACUGAAAUAUUGCUGAGGUUCCAUCAAGAUCAUAUGUUUACUAAAGAGAUCAGAUCUUCAUGUGGUUCCUGAUAUCAGCCCCAUGAAAAGGAUCAAAACCGGAAGGCCACAUUGAACAGAAGAUGGCAAUGGAAAGUUACACCCAUAUGAGGACUCUCAGGAGACUUGCUUGGAUCUGUAUUUCAUGAGGCAACUAUACAGAUUUGAGUGAAAGUUUAAGAAUUUGUGACAUAUAUGUACAACUUUCUAAGUAUAUAUUCAAGUAUCUCUUAAGGUGAGUGCAAUUUCAUACCAGCUUAAAUGCAGAUAAAAGUAAUAGCUUUACU
rnacentral:lncRNA from 1 species